UACGUAGGGUGCGAGCGUUAAUCGAAAUUACUGGGCGUAAAGCGUGCGCAGGCGGUUCGUUAUGUCCGAUGUGAAAGCCCCGAGCUCAACUUGGGAAUGGCAUUGGAAACUGGCGGGCUGGAGUGUGGCAGAGGGGGGUGGAAUUCCACGUGUAGCAGUGAAAUGCGUAGAGAUGUGGAGGAACACCGAUGGCGAAGGCAGCCCCCUGGGUCAAGACUGACGCUCAUGCACGAAAGCGUGGGGAGCAAACAGG
rnacentral:rRNA from 1 species